AGCCUAAGAGAACUUUGUGAUUAUUUAGCCACUAUUUCAAGAAACUUUCAACAUGAAAAAUAUUUCUUGUGAGCUUAUGAUCAAAAUCCCUAAAACCAUACACCUUGAGACUUUAUUUUGAGUGAGAUAUCUUCUCUUUAAUCUUCAACAUAGUUGUUGUCCUAAGGGUGUUUGAAGUGUCUUUUACUUGGUUUAUAUAUUGGAAAAGACUUAAAUCAUCAAAAGGAAGCUUUCUAAGGUGUGAAUCGUGAGGUAUAAUGAUUCCUGAUCAAAGCUUUGAGGAUUUGACAUAGUUUCUUAUUUUGCAAGUAAGAAUGUUAGAGGAGCUUCAAGAGGUACUUCGGUUACAGGAGAGCCUUCACAGGGUAAGAGGGUAACGUAGGGACAAAGAUCCCAGUUAUGAUAGAGAGAUGACUGGAUAUUUCAGAAUGAUGAUUGUACUUAUUGUUUUGGUAUGAUGUAUGAUCAUAUAUUUGUAUAAUUGUUAUUGUUUUGAGAGGCAUAUAUAGCUUUAGGUUAUGAUAUUA